UCCAUUGUUUUACUUGCUUCUAACACAAGGAAGGCAAGUUUUUCCUGCUUCCAUGACGAUGGAAGGCAGGUAACUCCUUUAUGGUGUUUGAGCUUGCAUCUAACAAGGAAGAUGAGGUUUUUUCCCUGCUUCUAGGACGGUAGAGAGCAGUCUUCAGCCUGAAAGCCAUCCCAAGAUCUAGGUGAGAUGCUGGCCAGUACAACUUUCUGAUGGAACCAUUCUAGAUCUGAGCUUUCCACUUGGUAACCAGUGGCCACGCGUGGCUAUGGAGCAUUCAAAAGGUGGCUAAGAACCCCAAAUCCAGGCUCCACAAGCAGAAGAAUGGCAGAGCAGCAGAGCAACACGGUGGAGAAGGAGAAAAGAGAAGAAGCAUCUGAGCAUUGAAGAGGCAGCUGGAUGGUCAGAGAGGAAUUUGGCCAGGGACAGCAGAACUCCAGGGGACGAAUAUCUUCCCACUCCAUCCCCUUUCCAGCUCCCCAUCCUGCUGAGAGUCACCUCCCUCACUCAAUAAAACCUCCACAUUUACCAUUCUUCAAGUGCAUGUGACCUGAUUCUUCCUGGAUGCUGGACAAGGACCUGGGUAUCAAGAGUGCAGGGUGUAAAAGGCUGUCAUCCUGA